ACGGAAGGCAGCAGUGGGGAAUAUUGCACAAUGGGCGCAAGCCUGAUGCAGCGACGCCGCGUGAGGGAUGAAGGCCUUCGGGUUGUAAACCUCUUUCAGCAGGGAAGAAGCGCAAGUGACGGUACCUGCAGAAGAAGCGCCGGCUAACUACGUGCCAGCAGCCGCGGUAAUACGUAGGGCGCAAGCGUUGUCCGGAAUUAUUGGGCGUAAAGAGCUCGUAGGCGGUCUGUCGCGUCUGGUGUGAAAACUCGAGGCUCAACCUCGAGCUUGCAUCGGGUACGGGCAGACUAGAGUGCGGUAGGGGAGACUGGAAUUCCUGGUGUAGCGGUGGAAUGCGCAGAUAUCAGGAGGAACACCGAUGGCGAAGGCAGGUCUCUGGGCCGCAACUGACGCUGAGGAGCGAAAGCAUGGGGAGCGAACAGGAUUAGAUACCCUGGUA
rnacentral:rRNA from 1 species